UACAGAGGGGGCAAGCGUUGUUCGGAAUUACUGGGCGUAAAGGGCGCGUAGGCGGCCCGCUAAGUCGAACGUGAAAUCCCCAGGCUCAACCUGGGAACUGCGUCCGAUACUGGCAGGCUUGAAUCCGGGAGAGGGAUGUGGAAUUCCAGGUGUAGCGGUGAAAUGCGUAGAUAUCUGGAGGAACACCGGUGGCGAAGGCGGCAUCCUGGACCGGUAUUGACGCUGAGGCGCGAAAGCUAGGGGAGCAAUCGGG
rnacentral:rRNA from 1 species